UACAGAGGGUGCGAGCGUUUGUUCGGAAUUAUUGGGCGUAAAGCGCUUGUAGGCGGCUUGUUAAGUUCCGUGUGAAAUCCCCAGGCUUAACCUGGGAAGUCGCGCGGAAAACUGGCGAGCUUGAGUGCCGGAGAGGGUCGCGGAAUUCCCGGUGUAGAGGUGAAAUUCGUAGAUAUCGGGAGGAACACCAGUGGCGAAGGCGGCCAACUGGACGAAUACGUG
rnacentral:rRNA from 1 species